UUGCUUGUAAGUUUGGAAAUGCAGAUGUAGUCAACGUGCUUUCGUCACACCAUUUGAUUGUAAAAAACUCAAGGAAUAAAUAUGAUAAAACACCUGAAGAUGUAAUUUGUGAAAGAAGCAAAAAUAAAUCUGUGGAACUGAAGGAGCGGAUCAGAGAGUAUUUAAAGGGCCACUACUACGUGCCCCUCCUGAGAGCGGAAGAGACUUCUUCUCCAGUCAUCGGGGAGCUGUGGUCCCCAGACCAGACGGCCGAGGCCUCUCACGUCAGCCACUAUGGAGGCAGCCCCAGAGACCCGGUGCUGACCCUGAGAGCCUUCGCAGGGCCCCUGAGUCCAGCCAAGGCAGAAGAUUUUCGCAAGCUCUGGAAAACUCCACCUCGAGAGAAAGCAGGCUUCCUUCACCACGUCAAGAAGUCGGACCCGGAAAGAGGCUUUGAGAGAGUGGGAAGGUACUGAAAGGCUGAGCCGCAGCGGCGUGGGGCACACAGUUGGUUGCGUUUUGAUUAAUGACAGAAGGUCAAAUCACAGCUUCAAAGUACCAAUUCCCAGGAAGCCUUUUCUGGGAGACUUGGUCCUUUUCGUGAAGGUCUAAUUCCUUGUGGAUGUUGUGGAAUUCUAGCUUAAGCCUGUCCCGUCCCAGACCUGGGGGACGUCUGCAGCGCCUUCCUUUCCUUUUCUAAUUGGAAUUCCUUGUUGGUUCUGGGACAUGUUUCUAAGGAACCUUAAUAUUUUAUAGAAGGUACCAUAUAAUGCUAUGGAUUCCUUGGGAAAAAAUAGGCCAUAGCCACAAAGCUAAAUUAUGUUGUAAUCAAAUAAAGCUUCGUGGAAUUGUUUAGAAUAUUUUCUCAAAAUAUGUGCCCAGUGUCAGAUGUACAACUGGAACCCAGA
rnacentral:sRNA from 1 species